AGAGUUUGAUCCUGGCUCAGGAUGAACGCUGGCGGCGUGCCUAAUACAUGCAAGUCGAGCGAACGGACGAGAAGCUUGCUUCUCUGAUGUUAGCGGCGGACGGGUGAGUAACACGUGGAUAACCUACCUAUAAGACUGGGAUAACUUCGGGAAACCGGAGCUAAUACCGGAUGAUAUUUUGAACCGCAUGGUUCAAAAGUGAAAGACGGUCUUGCUGUCACUUAUAGAUGGAUCCGCGCUGCAUUAGCUAGUUGGUAAGGUAACGGCUUACCAAGGCAACGAUGCAUAGCCGACCUGAGAGGGUGAUCGGCCACACUGGAACUGAGACACGGUCCAGACUCCUACGGGAGGCAGCAGUAGGGAAUCUUCCGCAAUGGGCAAAAGCCUGACGGAGCAACGCCGCGUGAGUGAUGAAGGUCUUCGGAUCGUAAAACUCUGUUAUUAGGGAAGAACAUAUGUGUAAGUAACUGUGCACAUCUUGACGGUACCUAAUCAGAAAGCCACGGCUAACUACGUGCCAGCAGCCGCGGUAAUACGUAGGUGGCAAGCGUUAUCCGGAAUUAUUGGGCGUAAAGCGCGCGUAGGCGGUUUUUUAAGUCUGAUGUGAAAGCCCACGGCUCAACCGUGGAGGGUCAUUGGAAACUGGAAAACUUGAGUGCAGAAGAGGAAAGUGGAAUUCCAUGUGUAGCGGUGAAAUGCGCAGAGAUAUGGAGGAACACCAGUGGCGAAGGCGACUUUCUGGUCUGUAACUGACGCUGAUGUGCGAAAGCGUGGGGAUCAAACAGGAUUAGAUACCCUGGUAGUCCACGCCGUAAACGAUGAGUGCUAAGUGUUAGGGGGUUUCCGCCCCUUAGUGCUGCAGCUAACGCAUUAAGCACUCCGCCUGGGGAGUACGACCGCAAGGUUGAAACUCAAAGGAAUUGACGGGGACCCGCACAAGCGGUGGAGCAUGUGGUUUAAUUCGAAGCAACGCGAAGAACCUUACCAAAUCUUGACAUCCUUUGACAACUCUAGAGAUAGAGCCUUCCCCUUCGGGGGACAAAGUGACAGGUGGUGCAUGGUUGUCGUCAGCUCGUGUCGUGAGAUGUUGGGUUAAGUCCCGCAACGAGCGCAACCCUUAAGCUUAGUUGCCAUCAUUAAGUUGGGCACUCUAAGUUGACUGCCGGUGACAAACCGGAGGAAGGUGGGGAUGACGUCAAAUCAUCAUGCCCCUUAUGAUUUGGGCUACACACGUGCUACAAUGGACAAUACAAAGGGCAGCGAAACCGCGAGGUCAAGCAAAUCCCAUAAAGUUGUUCUCAGUUCGGAUUGUAGUCUGCAACUCGACUACAUGAAGCUGGAAUCGCUAGUAAUCGUAGAUCAGCAUGCUACGGUGAAUACGUUCCCGGGUCUUGUACACACCGCCCGUCACACCACGAGAGUUUGUAACACCCGAAGCCGGUGGAGUAACCUUUUAGGAGCUAGCCGUCGAAGGUGGGACAAAUGAUUGGGGUGAAGUCGUAACAAGGUAGCCGUAUCGGAAGGUGCGGCUGGAUCACCU
rnacentral:rRNA from 1 species